GGACCGUCGCAAGACGGACUUAAGCGAAAGCAUUUGCCAAAAACGNUUUCAUCGAUCAAGAACGAAAGUUAGAGGUUCGAAGGCGAUCAGAUACCGCCCUAGUUCUAACCAUAAACUAUGCCAGCUAGCGAUCCGCCGAAGUUACUUCUAUGACUCGGCGGGCAGCUUCCGGGAAACCAAAGCUUUCGGGUUCCGGGGGAAGUAUGGUUGCAAAGCUGAAACUUAAAGGAAUUGACGGAAGGGCACCACCAGGAGUGGAGCCUGCGGCUUAAUUUGACUCAACACGGGAAACCUCACCAGGCCCGGACACCGGAAGGAUUGACAGAUUGAGAGCUCUUUCUUGAUUCGGUGGGUGGUGGUGCAUGGCCGUUCUUAGUUGGUGGAGCGAUUUGUCUGGUUAAUUCCGAUAACGAACGAGACUCA
rnacentral:rRNA from 1 species